CCUACGGGGGGCAGCAGUGGGGGAUAUUGGACAAUGGGGGGAACCCUGAUCCAGCGACGCCGCGUGAGUGAAGAAGUAUUUCGGUAUGUAAAGCUCUGUCGUCAGGGAAGAAAGAAAUGACGGUACCUGACCAAGCAGCCCCGGCUAACUACGUGCCAGCAGCCGCGGUAAUACGUAGGGGGCAAGCGUUAUCCGGAUUUAUUGGGUUUAAAGGGUGCGUAGGCGGGCUGUUAAGUCAGCGGUAAAAGCCCGGGGCUCAACCCCGGCGAGCCUUUGAAACUGGCUGUCUUGAGAUGUCGAGAGGUAUGCGGAAUGCGUAGUGUAGCGGUGAAAUGCUUAGAUAUUGCGCAGAACUCCGAUUGCGAAGGCAGCAUACCGGCGGCGAUCUGACGCUGAGGCACGAAAGCGUGGGUAUCGAACAGGAUUAGAUACCCCAGUAGUC
rnacentral:rRNA from 1 species